rnacentral:rRNA from 1 species
CCUACGGGAGGCAGCAGGGGGGAAUAUUGGACAAUGGGCGCAAGCCUGAUCCAGCCAUGCCGCGUGUGUGAUGAAGGCCCUAGGGUUGUAAAGCACUUUCAACGGUGAAGAUAAUGACGGUAACCGUAGAAGAAGCCCCGGCUAACUCCGUGCCAGCAGCCGCGGUAAUACGAAGGGAGCUAGCGUUGUUCGGAAUUACUGGGCGUAAAGCGCGCGUAGGCGGACUAUUAAGUCAGGGGUGAAAUCCCGGGGCUCAACCCCGGAACUGCCUUUGAUACUGGUAGUCUAGAGUUCGAGAGAGGUGAGUGGAAUUCCGAGUGUAGAGGUGAAAUUCGUAGAUAUUCGGAGGAACACCAGUGGCGAAGCGCUCACUGGCUCGRUACUGACGCUGAGGUGCGAAAGCGUGGGG